UACGGGGGGAGCAAGCGUUGUUCGGAUUUCCUGGGCGUAAAGGGCGCGUAGGCUGCCUCUGCAAGUCGACUGUGAAAUCUCCGGGCUUAACCCGGAAAGGUCAGCCGAUACUGCAGGGCUAGAGUGCAGAAGGGGCAACUGGAAUUCUCGGUGUAGCGGUGAAAUGCGUAGAUAUCAAGCGGAACACCAGUGGCGAAGGCGAGUCCCUGGACAACACCUGACACUGAGGCACGAAAGCUAGGGGAGCAAACAGG
rnacentral:rRNA from 1 species